rnacentral:tRNA from 3 species
AGGGGCGUAGCUCAGUGGCAGAGCACCGGUCUCCAAAACCGGAGGUCGGGGGUUCGAAUCCCUCCGCCCCUGCCA